rnacentral:rRNA from 1 species
CCUACGGGCGGCAGCAGUGGGGGAUAUUGCACAAUGGGGGGAACCCUGAUGCAGCGACGCCGCGUGGGUGAAGAAGCGCCUCGGCGCGUAAAGCCCUGUCAGCAGGGAAGAAAAUGACGGUAACUGAAGAAGAAGCCCCGGCUAACUACGUGCCAGCAGCCGCGGGAAUACGUAGGGGGCAAGCGUUAUCCGGAUUUACUGGGUGUAAAGGGGGCGCAGACGGCGAUGCAAGCCAGGAGUGGAAGCCCGGGGCCCAACCCCGGGACUGCUCUUGGAACUGCGUGGCUGGAGUGCAGGAGGGGCAUGCGGAAUUCCUGGUGUAGGGGGGAAAUGCGUAGAUAUCAGGAGGAACACCGGUGGCGUAGGCGGCCUGCUGGACUGCAACUGACGUUGAGGCCCGAAAGCGUGGGGAGCAAACAGGAUUAGAUACCCUUGUAGUC